GCCAGCUUAGCUCAGCGGUAGAGCAACGGUUUUGUAAACCGUCGGUCCUCGGUUCGAUCCCGAGAGUUGGCUCCA
rnacentral:tRNA from 2 species